UACGUAGGGAGCAAGCGUUGUCCGGAUUUACUGGGUGUAAAGGGUGCGUAGGCGGCUUUGCAAGUCAGAUGUGAAAUCUAUGGGCUCAACCCAUAGCCUGCAUUUGAAACUGCAGAGCUUGAGUGAAGUAGAGGCAGGCGGAAUUCCCCGUGUAGCGGUGAAAUGCGUAGAGAUGGGGAGGAACACCAGUGGCGAAGGCGGCCUGCUGGGCUUUAACUGACGCUGAGGCACGAAAGCGUGGGUAGCAAACAGG
rnacentral:rRNA from 2 species